rnacentral:rRNA from 1 species
CUUGAACGCUGGCGGCAUGCCUUACACAUGCAAGUCGAACGGUAACAGGUCUUCGGAUGCUGACGAGUGGCGAACGGGUGAGUAAUACAUCGGAACGUGCCUAGUAGUGGGGGAUAACUACUCGAAAGAGUGGCUAAUACCGCAUGAGAUCUACGGAUGAAAGCAGGGGAUCGCAAGACCUUGUGCUACUAGAGCGGCCGAUGGCAGGUUAGGUAGUUGGUGGGAUAAAAGCUUACCAAGCCGACGAUCUGUAGCUGGUCUGAGAGGACGAUCAGCCACACUGGGACUGAGACACGGCCCAGAGUCCUACGGGAGGCAGCAGUGGGGAAUUUUGGACAAUGGGCGCAAGCCUGAUCCAGCAAUGCCGCGUGCAGGAUGAAGGCCUUCGGGUUGUAAACUGCUUUUGUACGGAACGAAAAGCCCUGGGUUAAUACCCUGGGGUCAUGACGGUACCGUAAGAAUAAGCACCGGCUAACUACGUGCCAGCCGCCGCGGUAAGAC